CUGGCUACUAAGGGAGAAGACUGCAACAUGCAAUGGGAACUACUCUCAUCUGUUCUUCUUGAUUCUAGAUGAUGCCUUUGGUGUUCCCUCUCCAGAUGCUCAUCUGGAUCCAGAUUUUGCGCCUCAGGGGAAACCCAGAGGCCCUCUUGGUCAAUCUGCAGAGUGGAAUCCUGACCCUGAGCCUGGUAUGGAUGCUGGAGAAGUGCCCCCAGGGAAGGCCUUGCCAAGUCCUCGGCUCUUUCCUGUGCUGGAGCCCCGCUGGAAUCCCAGGGGUCUGGAAAAAGGAAAGGAUGCAUCUAGAAGAGGAAAAUACUCACAGAGGUCAUCUCGUGUGAUAAAGGAACUGCUGAAGGAAAUGGAGAAGGCAGCGCGUGGGACUGACCAACAAACUGCACAGGACGCGCUGCAGGAAGGCAGCCAUCCCACGCUGCCAGUCUGGGACAGAGAAACACAGACAGCGCCAACAACUGGCAUGCCAGAGUGUGCAAGAGAGCAGAGACAACUCCAGGACAAGCUCAUCCUGACAGUGUGCGGGAGAGAGGCCAGUCUGGAGGUGAAGGCAGAGCGGAGCUGGGAGAGGCAACAAAAGAUGAUGUAGUUGCCCAAGAAAACAAGAACUUGUACAGCGGAUCCAGCCCGUUCCCCUCCUCCUUUGAAGCAGAGUUUGAAUACCUGUGCAGCAAAAUCCGCACAGACCCUUCACUUUGGCCCACGUGUCCCAGCAGCUCUCCCA
ensembl:lncRNA